AAAACAACAAACAGGGAACUUGGGAGAAGAUUUUGGGUGAAUGACAAUAACGCUUUCUGGGGAAUCCAUUGGCGAAGGUGCCACUGGGAGUGGCCCAAAGGAAAAGAAGCAGUAGCCACCCGCAAAGGCAGAAGAGUUUGACGGAUGCUGCUGGAAUUCUCUGUCAAAUGGUGCUAUCAUUCAUGGCUCAUCUCCACACCAGAUGAAAUCACUACAAUGAAAGGGUAUCCUGGAGUGUUAAAUAUUCAAAAAGCUUCAAUGGGAAAACAUCUUCUUUUUCUUUGAAAACUUCAUCAAUUUAAAUUUAACGCCUGAAGAGAAGAAACACUGUACAUCUGAUCACAUCAUCUUUUUGCAACCUCCCUCUCUCUUAACCGCCUCCCCGCACCCUGCUUCUGUCGUAGGAACUAUUCCGGUUGCCAGUUUAAAUCGUUUCAGCAAACUAUUAUUGGAAAAGUCAGAACUAAGAUGAGAACUGUUACAUUUCUUUGUGUGGCCAUAAUGAGGUUAUUUAUGGUAGAUGGAGGCAACACUGUAGGAAAGAUUAAAGGUUUUGAUAAUAAAGGAAAGCAAAAGCUCAGGAUCCGGGUCCCUUCGUAUAGCAAUGACUCUCAAGAUCGGAUAAAUCACCCAAGCAACCAUUAAAACUUCAAGAAGAUUGCUUGUAAACCUCUAAGCAAUGCCAAUAAAGCAUAUUCCUGGCCAUGUAGCAGCCCAUAUGGUGGGCCUCAGCAGUUUUUCUAAACCAAAGGCUAUUCACGAUUUAACCCAACUGCCUUCCUUUGCGAGGCAGAGAGCCAAUGAACCACUAUCAAAUCAAUUCAGUCAUUAAAUUUGGGAGGAAGAGAGUGUCAGAGAAGUGACUGGGAAACCUAGUGCUAUCUGGUGGGAACAGAUAAUUGUAGAAGAUCAACCUAAGUUGGUGGAGUUUGUAGUGUUCCCACUUUCGGCCUACCUUGUGAUUUACCGUUCCUCUUACUUCUCAAGAUCUCCCACCAAGAGAGACUUUAAAACUUCAAUUUUAUUGGGGAUCAGGAAGUCAGGAAAAUAUUCUGACUCCCCUCCUCCCCCCAGGCUGUACUUAAUUUGCAUUUUAAAAAGUCAAGUCUAAUUGUCUAUAACUUCCCUGUCCUUUCACUUGAAAAGGCCAAAACUGUGGAGACAUUAGUAAAUCACAAGGGUAAAUUGGACGUAACUUCUCCUAAAAUCUAGUUAGUCUUUUCAUGCAGUGUUUGGGUAAAAUUUUAUAUUUUCUUUAAACUCAACCUGAUAAUGUAAACAAGAAUGACGUUUUGGUGAAAACUAGACCAAAACGUUCAACAUUUGCAAGUUGAUGUCAUGAAAGGCCCCUUUCUUUUAAUGAGCACAUAUUUCAAAGUUCGAAGACAACAAAAGCAGAGCCAAAAUAAUAACUUGGUCAAAUAAAAUCUUUCAGCAGUGUGGCA